GUGGGGAAUAUUGCACAAUGGGCGCAAGCCUGAUGCAGCCAUGCCGCGUGUGUGAAGAAGGCCUUCGGGUUGUAAAGCACUUUCAGCGGGGAGGAAGGCGAUAAGGGUAAUAACCUUGUCGAUUGACGUUACCCGCAGAAGAAGCACCGGCUAACUCCGUGCCAGCAGCCGCGGUAAUACGGAGGGUGCAAGCGUUAAUCGGAAUUACUGGGCGUAAAGCGCACGCAGGCGGUCUGUCAAGUCGGAUGUGAAAUCCCCGGGCUCAACCUGGGAACUGCAUUCGAAACUGGCAGGCUAGAGUCUUGGAGAGGGGGGUAGAAUUCCAGGUGUAGCGGUGAAAUGCGUAGAGAUCUGGAGGAAUACCGGUGGCGAAGGCGGCCCCCUGGACAAAGACUGACGCUCAGGUGCGAAAGCGUGGGGAGCAAACAGGAUUAGAAACCCGUGUAGUCC
rnacentral:rRNA from 1 species